CACAGCUAUUGUGUCGGUUAGGUCAUGGAGGCUGAGUCAUUAAGAAACAUCCUUGUCCUCUCCCCCUGAUGGACAUCCCUCUCCACAGACUCCUGCUCAGGAUGGCAGCAUCGGAGGACACACACUGCACCGGUGCCAGACGAGGCUGUGGGAGCCACCGAUGAGGCAGCUGUGACCUUGCGAGCAGAAGCUCAAGAGUCUGAGCCAAAAAAACCUCACCCUCCUUCCCCCGUGGUGGGGUCCAACGUGCCAGCAACGCCAGGUGCCCCUCCAGAAGUGUUUGUGGAGAUGCAGGCUGCCAUCCUGGGGCUGUUUUACAUCAGAAUUGAGAGCACAGGAAAGACAAUAUUGACUGAUUUUCUGGUUGGUGGUUUAGCGAUUAGCAGAUUUUCUGCAGACGUCUGUUGACUCAACAAUACUUCUGGCAAAAUACAUUUGGCUCAAGUGUGCAUAUUAGACAUUCUAGUUUAAUAUUUAAAUGCACAAAAGUAGACUCAUUACCUCUGUUAAAAUUUCUGUAUCUUUAUUCUCCAUCUGUUCACUUUGAGCCCUUUUCCCAAUAGUGAGGAUUAGAUUUGUGGCCUGGCGUUUGACAACUGACUCCAGCUUUUGACCAAAAUGUCAAACCAAGAACUUAACAUUGUUAAGGAACUUCUGCUCUGAACUUUUUUUUGGAGGCCACUUGGGCAUUGUUAAAGCUAGUUCUGCAGUUGCAGGAUGAGACUUAUUUGGAGCAUGUAUCUUACAGCUUCCGCCUUGAGAUCUCCAUAAUCACCAAACCUCCCACUGUGAAAAGAUUAUCAAAGAACGCAUGUAGCAAGUCAUCGCUCACCACAGAGUCCUCCAGGCUAAGAGGCAAAACAUGCAUACAUCAAGUAAAACAUUGCCCAACAUAAUUAGCUACCUUAUCCCAGUGGUCAUUGGAACCUUAAAAUCAAUAAUAACAUUAGUAAAACAACAGUGAACAUGCUGCACUGGUGCCUCAACACAUGCCCAUGGAAAACAGGUCUCUAAAUCGUAGUUGUGUUAUUGUUUAUUUGAUUUAAGCACCUUCUCUUGAAUUAUAAAUCAAGGUGCAAAUAAAAGCUGCAGAUGUAGUUAAUGUGGGUCCACAGCUGCUCUAUUCAGGGAGAUUUUCUCCAGACAGGGAGGCAAACUUGGUCCCAAAGCUGCAAUUGUGGUUUCAGAGGUAAUGCUGCACAGACUCCCACCCAAUAAAAUUUGGUCCCUGAAAACUUUGGAACGUAGAGUUCUGGAGUACUCACAUGUUUAUCACAUGAUUUAUUCAGCAUGGUAGGCCUCUAACUUUUCUAGCUUGUCAGCAUCGCUCUUUUUGCAUAAUGUUACAAUUAGCUUUGGUUAAAUGCUGCACAAGAGAAUGUGAAGGAGUAACUGAAGAGACAUUUAAAGGUUGAUAAAUACACAAAGUGAUCUUGAGGUCUUUCAGCUCUGUUUUCAAUUUCCCUUUUCCACAUUCUCCCACAUGAAAUGGAAUAACCUUCACUGCUUAUAUAACCUUCUGCAUUUGAUUACCAUAUUAACGUCCUUAACAGCAUGAAGCUAAUUUGAGAGCUAUGGAUGUCUUUGGAGAAGGUCACAGUAAUGAAGUGUACACCAAGAACAUGAUUUCAGCUUCACUUAUUAAACAUUUGCUAAUUGUU